CUUUGUUCCUGAGGCAAUGCAGAGGUCAGCAUUGGAACGAUACAGAGAAGAUUAGCAUGGCCCCUGCUCAAGGAUGACACGCAAAUUCGUGAAGCGUUCCAUAUUUUC